GACUGAAUGCCAGGGGCAGACUCCAGCCAGCCUCAAGGACAAGAUGAUGGAAUGCGGAAGAAGUGUCAGCUGGGAGCCACUCAGCCCACAGGCUAGGCUGGCUGGACCUGGGGACUGAGCCCUGCCCACUGGAUCUGUCAUGUGGCACCUGGUGAGCCCGCAAGAAGGCUGGGGCAUCAGCCUCACUCUCUUCCAAACAAGCUUCCUUCCAGGGGGUCUCGGUGCCACAGUUUCCAAGCCCCGCCCGAGGCUGGGGCCUGGGGGAAGGCUGUUUCACGACAGCACUUGACCAUGGAGGCAAAGCCUUGGAGUUCAAACCAUCCCCUGAUUCUGUCCUGAUGAGAACUAUCAGCAAAAAUCCAGCUAGAGGCAGCUCUAAACCUGCGACCCCAGAAUUCCACGUUUAAAAAUGUACCCCUUGGGGGCUCUCUUGUCCCCUCCUGGUGUGAGCCAGGAGCUCUUCCCUCUCACUUUAUUUCUAAAUAAAAGCCUGUACCUUGCUCUCCUAGAAAAAAAAAAAAUGUACCCUUUGGAAAUAGCAGGUCAUUUGUGCAGAGAGGUUCCUGGCAGAGUGAUUAAAAGAAAGGAGAAGUGGAAACUGCCCCGGGUGCAGAGUAGACAGGGCUGCCCAUCAGUUUCUUCUCUUCCAUUUGAAUGGGGUUCCCUGCUUUCAGAGUAUCCCCAGAGUCAUGAUCUCAUCUGACCCUCAGAAUUACCUGCGCCCAUGAGGUAAGAGGGCUGGAAGAAUGAUUACCCCCCACUUCUCACACAAAGGAAAUCAAGGCCCAGAGAAGCCAAGUGACUGACCCAAAGUCACAGAGCUUGUUGAAAUCUAGGGCCUGGACCCUGACUUCCUGACCCUUAAUCCAGUGCUCCUUUCCCCAUCCCAAGACAUCUUUAUGAACAAAUUAAUAGUAAUAAGGACAGACUUGUGUGGCCUAGGAAUGUGCAUGUGAAAGAAUGCUGAGUAGAUCAGACCCUGAGAUGGGAGAUGAGGUGGGAGCCUAUGUGCAAGCACCAUAAAUAAUAUUCCUAAAUGUGCAGGAACGAUUGGUCCUCAUCCCACUGGGGGCUCCCUUUCUGCCAGGCUCUUCUGUGAAAACCACUUUAAGGAGAAAACCAUAAUUACUCUCUUGGGGAUGGCAGAGCACUUAAGGGAAUGUCAGGGAAUGUCAGGGUGCUCACCAUCCUCCCCACUCAGCACUUUUCUGGCUCAUGCAGCCAGAAAAGCAUAUUCAGUGUCAUAAUUUCAUAGUUGGAAAAGUAGAAGAAUCAGUUACUCUUGUAAUUCAGACCACAGCGAGUAAAGUACAUAAAAAUAGAACCUCUGUGGUUGGGAGAGACCCACUGAAGCUCAGUGAAUUCUUAAGCGGGGCAAACCUCCCCACCCCCAGGGAAGGUGGGGGUAUCUGAAAAACCAGGGCCUGAGGUUGGGGCAUUUAAAUAGGUUUAAAUAGGUUGAGAAAUUCUGGACUAAAUGCCCUUUUCAGGCUCUCUGCGGUCUGCCAAUGUGUAAAAUUCUCUUGAUGAUUAUCGAUUGUUGGAAGAGAAUUUCCAGUAUGAUGUCAAGUUGGAAUUUCAUGCUCAUUUUAAGACGUGGCCUGCUGCCCACCCUAACACACUCGGGGCUGGAGGGAGUAACCUUCAGACUGAAAUUUUUACCUUGGUUCGGGCUGCAGAAUUGCAACAACAGCCUCUGGCCACAGUCAGGGCCCCUCCCUGCUGUCCCAGUGCCCAGAGAGCUGGACGAGGCCUGAUGCUGGCCUGAUGUGCGGAGCUCCACGCGGCCCCCGGCCCGUCUUCCCCUUACUGGGGACUAGCCUCCCGCAGGUGGGCCCUUAGGGCUCUGGUGUCCCCUUGGCUCCUAGGCUCCCAUCAGGGUGAUCUGGGUUCAGACGUUCCUUCUCAACUCUCAACUCCUCUUCAAUGCCAAGUUCCUUCCCAGAGAGGCCCAAUUUUUUUCCUUCUCUUCCUCAUCUUCCCUUCUUUCCACCGGCUGCCUCCCCAUCGUGUCCUAGCAAAGCUGCGGCAAAGCCUCCGCCCCGUUGCCUUGGCCUGGUUGACCUUUCAGCUGCUGCCCCACACUGCAAACACCACCCACCGCUGCUGUAAAGUUUCUUUACUCUCAGCUUCUUUCUGUUGACCUUGCCUACUCGUAUCUUCAUUAACUUAUUCAUUAGGAGUUAGCAUUUUUCCAAGAUGUGUUAUUUGACAGCCACAACUCUCUUGGACUGCAAACUCCAUGAGCAUGAGGGCCUGGUCUUUCUCACACAAGCCUGAUGCUGUACCUGGCACCUAGCAGACCUUGGUGAACAUGUGCUGAGCAGACAAACUUGUCCCCCAGGCUUUGGUCCUCCCAGCUGGGUGGACUGUCCAUGUCCUAAACCUUGAGGGCAGGCUGCUGCUCUGGACAAACGUGUAGGCCAUCGCUUGGCCUGUGGCCCCAACCCUAGGACUCACUUGCCCUCUUCCUCACUCACCCUGGAUCCUUUGACCCCAGCCUCUCGGCCCCCUCCCAGGCCGCAGCAACCCCCAGGCUCUGCUGUCUGCAUCUCAGCUGAGAAUGCGCUGGGCCAGCCUUUUCUCUCCUUUCCCUGGAGGGAUUGGACUCAAAAAUGAAAAGCUAAUUAAUGGGCUUAAUGGCAGACUAGACACAAAGAGGAAAGGAUAAAUGAAUUUGAAAACACUAAGUGAAAGAAAUAGAACAGAGCAUCUGAGCUCUGUGGGCCAGUAACAAAUGGUUCAACAUACAUGUAACUGGAGUCCCGUUGGCUUGGCCUGAUGAAAUGGAAUUUCCCAUUCUCUUGUUCUGCAGCUAUUUUUCUUGUAUUUUCUUUCUUUGUAAGAACAGUAGUAACAAGGAUGAGGGUAUGGGGAAAAGAGGAUGGCAGGUGGCUGAGGGGUUAAGAGCAUGGGCUUUAGGAGGCAAUCCCAGGGUUGUAUCCCUCCUUGGUCACCUGCUAAUUGUGUGACCUUAGGCAAGUCCACUACUCUCCCUGACCUUGGACUUCUCAUCGGUACCUGCCUGGUGAGGAUUAAACAGUAUAAUGCCAUGAAAGAGCCCAGCAGAAGCUCUGGCGGUGAGAGACAUUGAUUUAUUUGUGCUGACAGAGAAGAAUUCCAAGACUUAUUCCAGAGGCAAAAAGCAAGCUACAGAAAAAUGCCGACAGCAUGAUCCCAUGGGAAGAGAGAGCAGGAAGCAAACCACACCACCUUUCUGCUCCUGUGGGCGCAUGCAGAUCUAGGGCUUUCACACUCCCUGCCUUCUCCUGGAGCCCUGGACCUCACCUCUGUGCCUCAGGUCCCCAUUAAGAUGGGAGGGGAAUCUGAAGACUUUUGGGAAAGGUUUCUUGGUCUCUAAGAGAAACACAGGAAGACC